GCAGUGGUGGUUCAGUGGUAGAAUUCUAGGCUUCUAUGCUGGAGAACCAGGUUUGAUUCCCAGCCAAUACA
rnacentral:tRNA from 1 species